ACUCGAAAUACGAAAUAACAAAUACAUAUGUUUAAGAAAAUAUAUAAAGAUAGAUAUCUUUAGAAGGAUGUGUACUGAUAAAGACCCCGAGUCUUGUGUCCGAAGUUUUUCAUUUUGGUGUAUAGGUUUUGGAGCUGCUUGUUUAGGCCUUAAUGUGCUAAUAUUAGUAUGUAUUUUGCGCGGUGCACAGCCAAAUUUUUUCGAUACGCCUGUUGUUUUGAUAGUACAAUUCAUUUUCGGUGUAUUGGUUGCCAUAGUCAGUAUCAUCGCUGGAAUUCUAUUGCUACUAGGCAUAAAUCGGGGCAAUCGGAAACUUUUUAGAAUUGGAAAAAUAAUGAGCUACCCAGCGCCUAUAAUGUAUUUCUACUUCAUCUUCCCUAUAGUUAUUCAAGUUAUUGGGGUGCUUAAUCUCAGCGAGUACAGGGAUGAGCGUUGGCCUUAAACUAUUGAAAAACAAUGGGAUUACAAGAAGCACUCCUGAUGAUACUUGUAUAUAGAAAUUGAUUGGUAACUGUGUCAGAGCUUCUUGGAACGCUAAUAUCUAUUUGUACAACUAAUGUAUACAAUAUAAUAUGGUGUGAUUAAUUAUACAAAUGGAUAUUAGAGCAAAACUAAUUCAAUAACUUGAAAACAACUUUUUAUAA